CUUUUCUCUAGCUGCUUUCAGUAUUUUCUCUUUGUCUUUUAUUUUGGUCAGUUUGAUUAAUAUGCGUCUUGGAAUGUUCCUCCUUGGGUUUAUUUUAUACGGUACUGGUUGUACUUCCUGGAUUUGAGUGAGUGGUUCCUUUCCCAUGUUAGGGAAGUUUUUGGCUAUUAUUUCUUCGAAUAUUUUUUCUGUUCCUUUCUCUCUCUCUCCUCCUUCCCUAUAAUACGGAUGUUGGUGCAUUUAACGUUGUCCCAGAGACUUCUCAGUCUUCCCAGAGUUCUCUGAGACUCUCUUCAUUUGUUUUCAAUCUUUUUUCUCUUUUCUGUUCUGCAUCCAUGAUUUCCACUAAUCUGUCCUCCACCUUGCUUAUUCAUUCUUCUUCCUCCUGUAUGCCACUGUUGGUUGCUUCUAAUGAAUUUUUUAUUUCACUGAUUGUACUUUGCAUCUCUUCUUGGUUAGGUUUUAUAUCUUGUAUGUCUUUGCUCAGUGUUUCCUAUAAAUUAUCCAUCUUUGCCUCCUGUUUAUUUCCAAUGUCUUGCAUCAUCUUCACAUCAACAGUCUAAAGUCUUUUUCCUAGAGGCUGAGAAUCUCCUGAUCACUUAGCUGUUUGUUUGGUUUUUUUCCUCACUCCCUUAUCUGAGUUAUAGUUCUCUGCCUUUUCGUUUUUAUAGGUUUUUGGUGUGGUGAUCUUUUUACGGAAAAUAGAGCUGUAGCCUCUCUUACUUCUGGUGUCUGCCCCAGCUGUGGCUGAAGUUGGUUUCGGGGGCUUGCUGUAGACUUCCUGAUGGGAGGGACUGAUGCCUGCCCGGUAAGUGGAGCUGAUUCCUAUCCCUCUGGUGGGAGGAGCUUUGUCUCUGGGUGAGAUUAGAGAUGGCUGUGUGCCUGGGGAGUCUUUAGGCAGCCUGUUUAAUGAUGGGUGGGGCUGUGAUCCCACCUAGAUUGUUGUUUGGCCUGGGGCUUCUCAGUGCUAAUGUGUGUGGCCAAAUUUUCCGAAAAUGGCCGCCUCCAACGAAAGGCAUGCUGGUGAAUAUUCCCAAGAGGUUUGCUUCCAUUGUCCUUCCCUCACAACAAGCCACAUUCACCCCUGUUUAACCAGGAGGUCCUCCAAGAACUGCAGUCAGGUCUGACCCAGAUUUCUAUGGAGACUUUGCUUUGCCCUGGGACCCAGUGCACGUGAAAGUCUGUGUGCACCUUUUAAGAAUGGGGUCUCCAUUUCCCCCAGUUCUGUGGAGCUCCUGUGCACCAGCCCCACUGGCCUUCAGUGCCAGAUGCUCCGGGGGCUCUUUCUUCCAGUGCCAGAUCCCCAUGCCUGGGGGUUUGAUGUGGGGCUCAGAACUCUCACUCCUGUAGGUGAGUUGCUGUGAUACAGUUACUUUCCAGUCUGUGGAGCUUCCCACCAGGGAGGUAUAGCAUUGCUUAUAUGGCAUAAUUGCCCCUCCUACCUCUUUAUGUGGCCUCCUCUUUGUUGUUUUUAGAAGAGAAGUUGAGCUCCAGUCCUUCUUUUCUGCCAUCUUAAUCCCAUCUUCCACCCCACAACAUCAUUUAUUGAAGAGACUGUCCUUUCCCCAUUGUAUAUUACUAGCUCCUUUGCCAUGAACUGAUUGAUCAGUGGGUUUAGUCCUGGGCUCUUUAAUCUGUUACAUUGGUCUUUGUGAUUGUUUUUAUGCCAGUACCAUAUAUUUUGAGUAUUACAGCUUUGCAAUAUAGUUUGAAAUCAGGAAGAGUGAUGCCACCAACUUUGUUCUUUGUUCUCAAGAUUGCUUUGGCUAUCUGGUGUCCUUUGGGGUCAUAUAAACUUUAGGUUGUUUAUUCUAUUCCUGUGAAAGAGUGCCAAUGAUUUUGAUAGGGAUUGCACUGAAUCUGCAUACUGCUUUGAGUAGUACAAACAUUUUAACAACACUAAUUCUUCCAAUCCAUAAACACGUAAUAUCUUCCCGCUUAUUUUUGUCU
rnacentral:lncRNA from 1 species